rnacentral:misc_RNA from 1 species
ACAUUUUAAAUCUAUUCUCCUAUUCAUCCUAAGCAAUUCAAACUUGAACGAUUGAUAUAUUUUAUACAAGUUAGUAGGUUGAAUAGAAUAUCAUUAUUAUUUAUUAAUAAUAAACAUUGAAUAUACCCUAAUGCUUGUGAUGUUAUCCAUUUUUAACUAUUAUAUUAAUGUAAAGUGAGGCGUGUAGGACUGCUUGAAAGAGCGGAAACAGUUUCUACUAAGAAGAUAUUUUAUAGUAGGAUAAAUAGAGCAGACAGUGAUGAAUUUUCCAAGUAUGGAUUUAACUCUAUUAUUGGAAGCUCUUUCUUCAUAAAAAUGGAUCAAAAUUUGACAAUAUAAAUAUGCGUGAAAAAGUUUACAGAAAGUAUAUAUUUCAAUUAGAAAAGUGUUAAGCAAAUAAUAUCGUAAAUAAAUGGAGUAAUAGAUGUCAUUAAAAGAUAGUUGGGAAUAUAACCCUUAUCUAUAUUUUAUAGAGGAGUAAAAAUUUAAAUAUUUUAUCAUUGGUAUUUUAAUAGUAGGGAUAAAGACACUUGUGGACACUAUGACAUAUUUCAGAUAUUCAAACAUUAUUAUCGUUAUGGGUAUGAUAAUACCAUGGUGCAACUCUGCGGGCUUGAGGCGUAGGGAGCUACUGAACAGCAAUAUGGAUCUAGAUGUAUCAUCGUUAGAGCAACCGGAUAUCAAAGUUGGUUCAUUCGUAAGUUUGCAGUGUAAUGUCCGUGAUAAAGAAGGAUAUUUCAAUUGGAGGAGCUGUAUUUGGAGACGUUCAAGGGAUAAUAAGUCCUGUAAAAGGUUAUAUGGUUGUGCUGGACAAUUCUGCUUUGUUGGAUUUGGCGAAUAUAAAACUGAUAGGAUCUGUGACAAGGAGUUGCAGGACACUACGUUCCCGGAGAAUAAUUUUGAUGAUAAAACGAGCACAAUUUGCAGAAUUGAAAUCCCAAAAGUUAGACUCGAAGACAGUGGAGAAUGGAUUUGCAGUAUUCAAAAAUGCACGUAUCCUCUAUGCGCUUUUGGAUCAUACAAAACAAUUGAAGGGCGUAUUAAUAUCAAAGUGGAUCCUUAAUUAACCACAAGAUAAGUGUUGAAAACACAAGAAAGUCUAUGAGGGAUAGUUACAUAUAAUGUAGUUGUUAUAAUUAAGGCUCAUGCGGAUGAAUGAACGUUAAAGUGUGCGACAACAAGACGUUACCUUUUAUUGUACGUUACGAAAAAUCGACUUGAUUAAGAAGAACAUAGUGUUAAACGAUUGGGCUAUAUAUAAUUAGAUACAAUGAUCACAAAUGUAUUGCUCGAAAUGGUCACCCACUGCCUUUAGGAGGAGGUCUGUAGCAUGCCGAUGUAUGGAUGGGGGAUGGAACAGGCCCUUCUUUCGACAUAGCAAUAAUCAAGAGGAUUAAUGUCGGGCGAGGAGGGAGGCCACAAAUCGUGUAUCCAGAAAUCGGAAAAAUUCAACUCGAACAAUUGCUGCAUGGUCCUGGCCUUGUUCUCCAGGAAAGAGUCCUGGUGGAACUCUCUGGGUAGUUGGACCUCCCCCAGGACAAGAUCACCUCCUUGAGGAAGUCUCGGUACACAUUCUCUCAGAUUUUCAGGCCUUAAGGAGCCCACACGGGGCAUCCUCUUUCCAUCUGAUGCCACGAUUCUCAGCAUCGUCGCGGAGGCAGGGAAAUUAGUCUGGUUGUCCGGCAGAACCUCAUCGCAAAGGAAGGUAGCGGUCGUUUCUGGUAUUGAUCCUUGUCUUGUUUAUGUGCUCUGGGAGAUUCAAAUCGAUUAUACUUCGCUUUUUGGCCUCCAUUUCGACCAAGAAUGAACCGACUUUAGUUAGUGUAGCUCAUUUGAACACUAAAGUUGCGGAAUUAUUGUGUUACAAAAUCUUGAAACCUAGUUCUCAAAUGAAAAUUCCCUGAACUAUCAAGUGGAAGACGCGAUUUACUGGUGUACAAUGUACCUGGUAAUUGGAACGUAGAACAGAACAGAAAUAAUACCUGAACUCUGAACGUUGAACGAAAAAAAAAUGGACAAAACUUCAAAACAGCGGAACGCUUACAAGCCUGCAUUUUGAACUUUUCAGAAACGAUAUUACUUAAGCAUUGAUUGUUAUACUCCGAUUCUGGCCGCUAUAUACAUCCAUAUACAAAAGGUUCACUGUAAAAUGAUUGUUGUAAAAAGGUUGCGCAUAAAAUCGUUGGCGUAAUAUCGUUGAGUGGUAAAAUCGUUGUUGAUCUCGUAUAAUGCGAUGUUUGGAAUUAUUCUGACUCCCCGUAUAUGGUACCUCAUAUUGCGUUUCUUUAUAUUAUA